rnacentral:rRNA from 1 species
CCCUUAGAUGUUCUGGGCCGCACGCGCGCUACACUGAUCAGUGCAACAAGCAUCCGUCCUUGACCGACAGGCCCGGGCAAUCUUUGAACGCUGAUCGUGAUGGGGAUAGACUUUUGCAAUUUUUGGUCUUCAACGAGGAAUUCCUAGUAAACGCAAGUCAUCAACUUGCAUUGAUUACGUCCCUGCCCUUUGUACACACCGCCCGUCGCACCUACCGAUUGAAUGGUCCGGUGAAGCCUCCGGAUUGGCGUGCACCCUCGGGUGCUGCCGAGAAGUUGGCUAAACCUUACCAUUUAGAGGAAGGUGAAGUCGUAACA